rnacentral:misc_RNA from 1 species
UACGGGGGGGGCAAGCGUUGUCCGGAAUCAUUGGGCGUAAAGAGCUCGUAGGCGGUCUGUCGCGUCGGAUGUGAAAGCCCGGGGCUUAACCCCGGGUCUGCAUUCGAUACGGGCAGACUGGAGUGUGGUAGGGGAGAUCGGAAUUCCUGGUGUAGCGGUGAAAUGCGCAGAUAUCAGGAGGAACACCGGUGGCGAAGGCGGAUCUCUGGGCCAUUACUGACGCUGAGGAGCGAAAGCGUGGGUAGCAAACAGG